rnacentral:sRNA from 1 species
GCAAAUAGCUCAUGUUCCCUUAGCCGUUCCAGCACCGCCCUUAGAUGUUCUUGGUGAGCUUCCCAAGAUUUCGAGUAAACAAGUAUAUCGUCAAUGAAGAUGAUAACAAACUCGUCUAA